UACAGAGGGUGCGAGCGUUGUCCGGAAUCACUGGGCGUAAAGGGCGCGUAGGUGGCGGCCCAAGUCCAUGGUGAAAGCUCGAUGCUCAACAUCGAGUCGGCCACGGAUACUGGGUUGCUCGAGCACUGUAGGGGCAGAUGGAAUUCCGGGUGUAGCGGUGGAAUGCGUAGAGAUCCGGAAGAACACCGGUGGCGAAGGCGGUCUGCUGGGCGAGUGCUGACACUGAGCGCGACGAGCGUGGGGAGCAACAGGG
rnacentral:rRNA from 1 species